GUCUGUUUUUGUCCUCGUUGCUUAUUAUACCCACGCUCAUUUUCCUCCCCCUCCCCCACACACAGGCUCACGCAGCUCAUUCUUUUCCCGGGAUCGAGCAUUUGCCGCAACGCCGCUUUGUUGUUCUGCUGGCAAACGUGUGAGUAAAUCAUCGGAGGGUAACAGUCAGACAUCCGGCCGGUGAGAGAGGCGAGAGGAGCCGAUAGGACGAGCUGCAGUGCUGAGAUGUAGCCUCCCUGAUGGAUCGACGAGGAGGUCAGGCUUCCUCAGCACAGAGCGGCGCGGCCAGCCAGGCCACCUCGGAGACACCAGAGUGGGCGGACGUGUAGGGAAUGGGCACUUAUCUAUCGAGGCAAACGUCUCCGUCUGGCCAAGACCGAGAGAACACGCUCACUUCAUGGCCAUCAAGAGACUUUAAGCUGCACGGGCAGGACAAGCAACACACAGUGUGUUCUAUCGGUUGUUUCCAGACUAUAUACAGUGCAUCGAUGUCAUAUGGUGACGCUGGACAAUCCGUCCAAAACGUUUGGAUGAGUGAACAUUGUUGGAAGGGUUUCCUUUCCUUUAAUUCACCUUCAAAAUGUCUUCCCCGCCCCUAAAAGUUAUAUUUUUGACUUGACCCAGUUGCUCCAUAUGACAUGAAUGCAGCACCACCAUGUACAGGUGAAUGGUUAAGCUGCUGCUGCUGGUCUGGACCCUGGCUGUGCUGUGCUGACCCGAAUUCUCACUAGGCCUUCCUCAGAUCCGCUGGCACCCAGAGGUGGAGGGGAGUGUCGCGCGCCCGUCCAGCACACGGACAGAACUCUCCAGCACACGCGACUCCGGGACACUCUGCGCAGCGCCCGCUCCUGCCAGUGUGCCAGGGCACUGCCAGACUGGCGCGCGUGCACAUACACAUACACAUACACACAUGUUCAAGACCAGGAAGAUGAGAAGAUUAGAAGCAAAAGGGGAAAGAGAUUAAGAGUAAAAAGUCCAAAACAAAAAUGUCCUUAAAAUACUUUAGAUAUUUCAUAAAACUCAUGCGAACUGCGAACAGCUACUCUGGUCAAAGGUGACAAAAUACCAGCAACUCUAAAGCCCACUAAUUAAAACAUCAUAUCACCAGAUCAGUUGCUAGGAAACAAGCAGAUGCUGCAGGAAGUUACUGGUGAAAAAACUGACCGUAUGAAACAAAUAAGAUGUGGCGUGUUACUAAGUGAGCUUCACCGGGGCUUUAAAAUAUUUGCACAGAGCCAGCAGCUUCCCCCUGUUCCUUUGUGCUAAGCUAAGCUAAGCUAACUGGCGGCUGGCUAUAUAAAAACUAUGGGUGCACGUGUUGGCAACGGAAGAACCAUCCAGGCGCGUCAGCAAGCUUUAAACAUUGAAUUAACGCGGUUACAGCCAUCACAGCGUCUGGUUUCUGCACGUUCGGUUCUCUGGAUCGACAUUCCAACCGGCAAAUUCUACAGAAUUUCAAUUGUUCAUGUAUUGGACCUGGAGAGUCAAUUUGUUUCGCUUGUAUUUGCAAGUUCUUGCAUAGUUUAUAACGCCCUGUUCUGUGUCUUCUCUGUGUCUCCUUGAUUGGUUAAUUACCUUCACCUGCCCUCAGCCACCCUUGUCUCGUUAGUGUCUCAUGCCGUACACCUGUGUUUUUCCCCCCUAUAUAUUGUGCAAGUCUUUCCCUUGUCUUCUGGUGGUUUGUUGUCUUUAUCUGUCUCAUAGUGUCUCUGUUUUGAUCUCUCAUUCCCAGUCUUUGUUCGAUGGUGAUUCCUAGUUUUUUUGUAGCCGCUUUCGAGCCAGAGUUCUUAUGUUAUACCUUUUCUUGGAGUAAAGUCUUUUGUUUCGCUUUAAACCUGGAGUCCAGCCUGUUCUUCU